rnacentral:tRNA from 1 species
GCUUCCUUGACUGAGUUUUCAGAGCAUUGGCUUAGUAAGCAGAAGGUUGCUGGUUUGAUUCCAGCAGAAUGCA